rnacentral:lncRNA from 1 species
UCUCCUCUGUGCCAUAUAUUGUAGUAACCCACUCUGAGAGAGACCUCUCAACCCCUGCCUUCAUGUUGCUCAUGACCAAUCCUUCCUCUAAGAUCAUUUCUGAGUUCUAGUAAGUGUAAUUUCUUUAUUCUCUAGAUAUCUGUAUCAUCUACAGGUCAUAAAACUGAUGCUGUUUUUUGAUAUGUCACACUUACCACACAAUGCUUUCCAUAUAGAAAUUUGUUUUUCUCUGAUAGCUUUCUUCAGAAGAUUCGUUUCUUCUUACCAAAAGGGCAAUAAGCCAGCACUCCUGAUAUCUCUGUUGACUUUAACAUUCCCUACAUAGUGGUUUAGAUAAGCUAUUUUUUUCAUGUAAAAUAUAAUGGCUUGAACAUUAAAUCAUUUCUGUCAAUCAUUUAGUGCAGCUACUUAGCUUUAUUGGUACUGUGUGUUUUGAGACCAGAAAGCCUGGCCAGCUAAAUUAAGGUGCAUUUUUGUGGACUUCUAAAUACCACCCACAGAUCUUUUUAACUUCUGAAAAUAAAUACAUUCCACAGAAUACCGAAGUUGCAAAUUUUCCAUAAGUGGUAAAUGAGAGAAACAGAAUGGCUCUAGAUCAAGUCUUUAUCUGUUCAAGCCACUUUCUUUUUUUCUCUUUAAGCAAAAUCACCAGGAACAUAUGCUUUAAGAGUUAAAUAUAUCUUUUGAGUUUUCAUCUAACUCUUCCAAAAGACGUAAUGGCAAUACAUAAUCUUUUCUGUUCUCCAGUAUCAUAUAAUAGUGGGGCAUGUAUAUUGGUAUCAUAUCUAAGCUGCCCAGCAUUACACUGUCUUUGAGUUAAUAACAGAAGUAAAGUCAAGAAGUAGUGACUGCUUGUUUACUGUUUUACCACAGCAGUGUCCGACCACAUAUUCCUCACCAUUGCUUGAGAACUCCAGAAUGCCAACAUAAAGCAACUAACUCAUCUCACUUUCACUUACUAUUUUAUAUAUUUGAUAAUUGAAACUUUUUUUUCUUGAGACAGGUUCUACUAUGUAGUCUAGGCUAGCCUUGAAUUUAGAACCUUCCAAGUGCUGAGAUUACAGACAGACAUCACAACAGCUAAAAUGAUUCUUUUGAAUUCCUUGUAUAAGAGAUAAACCAGCCAAGUAUCCCAAGAUAUUUUCAAACAUGGUAGUUUCUUUCAUCCUUCCCUAAGAGUUACAUGAUAGUAAACACUCCUGAAAUGCUGACAUUUGCAGCAUCUAAGAGGUGAUCGAUCCUUCCUCUUUUUGUUGAGUACUGUAGAAUACAAUGAAGAUUCAACCCAUUGGCUUUUAUAACUUGGAGGUCUCUUUUAGUAUAUUCUUGAAAGCUGAAAGACACUAAGCUGGAUUUGGAGUGCAUAUGUUUAGUACACAUCCUGAGCCAAGUCACAGUUUGUUUUUUUGUUUUUUUAGAACUUGUAAUUUAAUGCAAAUAAAUUCUUGGUUCACUACACUUCAGUAUGAGUGCCUAUCAGAAACAGUAAUGGGAAAGCCACAUAGGCCACAACCUAUCUUUUCAUACAAUAUCUGUCUUCCUUUCACUGACUAUUAAGUAAGUAAUUUCUUCUUUUUGGUCUUCUUUAAUUUACCUGGUAAAGUUGAGAAGAUCCCUUUGUACUGAUGAUAGGAGUUUAGUAUUUGUUUUAUUUCAUAUAUUUUGAAAAUGUUCACUUUUCCCUACAAUGUAUAUUUAUUUGUCUUCAACCCUUGCUCUAGCUAUUGAAUUGGGUAAUUAGUGGUUUCAACUAAAGUGAUAAAACUGAAACAAUAUACAGGUAAGAGGGCACAGCAGAUAAAAGAGCUUUAAAGUAGUCGCCUAGGUCAGUGUUGGUGACAGUGUUGCACACCCACAAUCCCAACACUCAGGAGACUGAGGAAUAGUCAUGCCUGUGAGCUCCAGGCCAACUUGGGCUACCCAGUGAGUUCCAAGCUAGCUAGGAUUACAUAGCAAGGCCCUAUUUAAAAAAAAAUAGUAACAAAAAACAAAUCAAAUGUAUGGCUAAUAUCAGACUAAGUAAGCACUCUUCUGCUCUCACUGAAACCGUCUUUGCUAAUGAACUCACCAGCCCUGUGCAUCAAACACGAAGGUGGUUGCUUGUGCAUUAGGACUCCUUUAAGUGGACAAAGAGGUCACUUUUAAAGGACCUAGUUUUAUCUUCUAAGAAAGACACUUAGAAAGAUGAUUGUAUUACAUAACUUAUUCUUUAUAAUACUCUAUUCUCUUGCUUUAAUAUCUAGCAAAUGAGAUAAUGAACAAUUCUGUUGUAUGAUUUGAAUAGUUAGGGAUGAGUGUGGAUGUGUGCACUGUGUAUGUGUGUGUGGUAAAAUUUUAUAGAGUAUAUGAUUCUUUUGUUUACCUAGAUACCAUGCAACCAAAUACACAUUAGACUUUGAGACAUAAUGUUCAAAACUGGAAUCCCAGAUAGCAUCUCUGUGGCCUGUUUUCAAUGACCAUGAAUAAAACUCUUGUCUAGUCUUUGUGCUGGGGUCACAUUCAAUACAUUCUUCUUUUCUCAUGGUGGCUUAUAUGUAAUACAUGCAAGGCACUUUACAUUACCCAUUUCCUUACCGUUAAAGCUCUGCAAACAUGAGGACUCCCAUAUAGACUAUACCUCAACAGGUGAUGCUGAUCUUGAAUUAUAAGAAGAAAAAGUAGAUGCUUAUAGAAUUUUAGUGAUUACAGUCAGCUGUCAUGUGUAUCAGUCUUAAUUUCCUCUUAAAAAACAAAACAAAAUGAACUACAGCUUAAACUUACCUCCAACAAAACAUAUCACUUGCUAUAGAACUAUCUCCAUCAAUAUGUCCCCUCACUGUGCCCUCAUCUCUGGUUUAUCAUUUACAGUAUUUGAAAAACAUUUAAGAAAAAUGAAUCAUUGAGAAGAAAAUGAACAUUACUUUUUAUUGACAACUUAUUAACACAAGAGUCCUUUCACUAACCUAUAACUUUACAUAACAAUAUUACAUAUGGAAAAUAAUCAAAGAAACUGAUUUGUGAGGAUAAGUGCAUCAAAAGACUAUUGUCAUAAAAGCACAAGAAUAAAGAUGGAGAUGAUCCCAGAAUCCAAGAAGUCCCAAUAGCCUCCUGCAUUGGUUUUACUAUUCUUGGCAUUUUGCAUAAUGCAUGGAUUCUUUGUUCAAAUUAGGGAAUCGGUUUUUGUCAGCCCUAUUUCUUUCUUUGCAAGUCCUGCCUUUCCCUUAACUGAGGAGGUAAUAUAAAUCCUAUGCUAUUUUUAUGAAAUAUGAUUUUCCCCAGCAUCUACAAUAAAAACACGUUAGAAUAAAGGAGUUGACCAGUCUGGAAAAUGCUAAUUGACCAUAAAAUCAACAUUAGCCAUCAGCCUCUUCCUCUAUAAACACUGACCAAUUACUUGUUUCCAUAAUGACAUGUAUUAUGUAUAGUACACUCUAUUAAUGUAAAUGUGAUGCUUGUUAAGAAAGUGCAAUUUAUUGUACAUUGUCCCAACAAAUGUUUACUUUUAUAAUCGUUAUGAGCUUGUAUUGGAUUGGUAUCUUGUUUAGAUGUGUGAAUGAAACCUUGUGAAUAAACAAAUGUGACC